rnacentral:lncRNA from 1 species
AUGGGGAUUUGUGAGAUUCAAACUCAUCUAUGGUUCACUCUUUUAGGAUCAGAUAUGAACAUCCUCCAGAUCAAAGCAUCUCUUGCAUUGCUUCUAGGUUCUGCAGCUGAGGAUGGCAGUAGAUGGGGGCUGGCUGGCAGGUGUAGCCCACAGAAGUGUUACUGUGCAGCUUUAACAUCAACACCACGACAGCAGCGCCAGAGGUGGCAGACAGAUAACAAAGACAUUAAUUACAUCAGCCAUGCCAGGCUUGAGCGGUGGGAAUUUCUGUUCUUAAGAUAUGGGAUCAGAAAAGAAGAUCCAGUUCUGCUCAUUAGACAUCAGAUGAGAAAGUAGGUGCAUAUUUUGUUUUGUGUUUGCAUUGUCAUGUUCAGUGGAUGCUUUUUCAGAUAUGUUAAUUUUAUAUCAAAGGAAUUCCAUGCGCAGAGUUAAAAAUAUCAAAAAGUUUUAUAAAGGAAACCAGAGGUUCUCUUUCCCCAUGCUUCCUGUUCUCCCCCUUGGGUACCUUCCCAAAGGCUAGGAUUUUUUUUUUUUUUUUGUCUUUUUAGGACCACACCUGCAGCAUAUGAAAGUUCCCAGCCUAGGAGUUCAAAUCAGAGCUGUUGUUGCUGGCCUACACCACAGCCACAGCAUUGCCAUAUCCUUAACCCACUGAUCGAGGCCAGGGAUCGAACCUGUGUGCUCAAGGAUACAAGUUGGGUUUGUUACCACUGAGCCACAAUGGGAACUCCCAAGGCCAGGAUUUUUAAAGGUUAGCUCUGUAUUUCGAAACAUGCACAGAUUGUGAUUUCUUGACUAAUUUCCCUCAGACAUUAUUUAUUAAUUUCUUUCUUGCAGAAGAUAAGCACUUAGCUCUCUUCUGUGGGGAUGAGUUAUUUUCUUAAUCCUGCACCAAAAUGAGCAUUCUCUGAUUCUCAGAGCCUGUAGUGCUUCUCAGAAUCCCAUACAGGCUGUUCUUACCCUGCUGCUUGUCCAGGCUAGAGAGCGAGUGAGCUUUGAUGGGGGCGAUGUUGCUGGUCUCAAAUACACAGGCAGCCUCCCCACAGGCACUGGCUGUUGCUAUUUCCCAGUUGGAAUUGCUCAGAGAGGUCUAGGCCUCCUGGAAAGUAGGCCAGCAUUGCAAAUAUUUACCAAAAAAAAAAAAAAAAAAAAAACCUUUGGGGAAGGAAAACUGUUUGGGUGGAAGUCCAAGGAUGGCUCUGAGGACCCUGCUGGAGUGGGGGUCUGAGCAGGUGGGUGAGCGGAGCAGAGAGGGGAAAUCAUGUGUGGACAGAGAUGGAUGACAAGCGGUCACUCUCAGGAAUAAGACCUUAAGAUACGCAAACAAACCCGGUGGAAGUCAAGCUGCUGGGAGAAAUGCUGGUUAGCAGGUUGGCGAAAACUCACGUUGAUCCCUCAUGUCAGAUUUAACACCGAAAAAGACAGGGGGGGAAAAAACCCUUCUAGGCAGAGUAAAAGCCUUAACAUUUUUAGUAAAAAUAAACACCAGAAGACAAUAACAUUGAACAUGUAUCGAGUUGUGGAAACUUGAAGGAGAAGGGUAGAUAAAAUCACACAAUAGAAGAUUGAUGUAAAAUUAAUUAUAUAUUUUGAAAGUCGUUGGCUUAAAAACUGUUAAAAGGAAGCAAAAUGGGACACUAUUCUAAGCAAGGAUGACAAACGCGGGCUUGAUAUUCUUCACAUAAAAGGGCUUAUAAAAUUAUUAUGAAAAUCACUAAGAUCCGGCAAACUAAAAUAGACAGGAAAAUACAAAUCACAAAGAGGAAACAAAACGGCUUGAAAAACAUAUGGGAAAAUGUUCAACCUUGCUAGUAAUCAAAGAAAUGCAAAUUAAAAUGGAGAGACUAUUUUUAGCUAGAAAAUGUGUAACCUUUCCCCAAAAACCAGACUCCCCAUACUGAUGGAGGUGUGGUGAAACUGAGACGCCCAGGCACUGCUGGAGGCAAUGUGAGUUCCUGUGGCCCUUUUGGAAGACGCGUUCGAACACCCAUGCUCCCCCGCCCCCCGCCCAGGGCACGUGGAAGUUUCAGGGCCAGGGAUUGGACACGUGUGUCACAGUAGGGACCCAAGCCGCUGGAGAAACCUCACUGGAUCCUUAACCUGCUGUCACUGCACCACAAGGUAACUCCUACCUAGGCUUCUUAGUUCAACAAUUCUACCUCCAAUGCGGCAAUCUCAAAUGCAGCCAAAGCUUUUUGUAGUAAAACAAAACUAAACCAAACAAAACUUCAAUGCAGUGUUAUUUACAGUGGUGAAAAGGAGAACGGAAUCUAUAUGUGUAACGAGAGGGGGAAGAGUUAGGUCAUUGAUGGAAUCCAUUUGCUGGAUUAUUGUAAGCCCUGUUGUGAGUCUGGCCCACCUGGAUCUGUAUCUUGCUCUUAUCUUCCCUGUGUCUUAGGGGAUGGCGGUUCCAUUUCGGAUUCUGCCUCCCUGUCUGUAAGGCUGAACUGAGGGGACCCUGCAGAGUGGUUGUGGGAAUUUUGGCUUGAGAUUUGGUACAUUGACACAGGAGGGAGGGAGGGGCUUUUCUUGUUUCUCAGUCCUUCUUGACUUUGCACUGAGCACUGUUCUUCCAAGUGUUGGGAUAGAUAUUCUUGUGACUCAAAGGGUCCAUGUGCCCAAAGGAUUUUACCAGGAAAACAACAUUUGCUGAAGUUAAAAAAAAAAAAAAUUACAUGGAAUUCCCAUCAUUCCACAGUGGAAACAAA